UGUAUUUCACAUACUUCUUUUAUUCUUCUGCAGAACCAUGAGGUUCAAGCAAGCAACACAAGCUUCAAACAAACACAUCGAGGUUCACACCCAGCUUCCUUUUAUUUAACUUCAUAAUUUCACACCCAGCUUGCUCUAGCAUACCAGAGAGGUUGGAGCAAUUUUAUUCGAUUGGGGAGAAAACACCAUUAUCGUGUAUGAUCCCUCUUUACUGACUUAGUUGUAGGCAUCCGGGUUGGCGAUGAGAUAAGCCUCAACAGUCUUGAACAUUUCGGCGGCAGAGUCCUUGGCCUUGAGCAUCAUGUCCUUCGCCUCAGCACCCUU